rnacentral:rRNA from 1 species
UCUGCCUAUUAGUGGGGGACAACGUUUCGAAAGGAACGCUAAUACCGCAUACGUCCUACGGGAGAAAGCAGGGGACCUUCGGGCCUUGCGCUAAUAGAUGAGCCUAGGUCGGAUUAGCUAGUUGGUGGGGUAAAGGCUCACCAAGGCGACGAUCCGUAACUGGUCUGAGAGGAUGAUCAGUCACACUGGAACUGAGACACGGUCCAGACUCCUACGGGAGGCAGCAGUGGGGAAUAUUGGACAAUGGGCGAAAGCCUGAUCCAGCCAUGCCGCGUGUGUGAAGAAGGUCUUCGGAUUGUAAAGCACUUUAAGUUGGGAGGAAGGGUUGUAGAUUAAUACUCUGCAAUUUUGACGUUACCGACAGAAUAAGCACCGGCUAACUCUGUGCCAGCAGCCGCGGUAAUACAGAGGGUGCAAGCGUUAAUCGGAAUUACUGGGCGUAAAGCGCGCG